GUCUGUGGCCAUGCCACCCUGAACGUGCCUGAUCUCAUGUGAUCUCAGAAGCUAAGCAGGGUCAGGCCUGGUUAGUAUUUGGAUGGGAGAAUUACAAUUUAUACAUACU
rnacentral:rRNA from 1 species